GGGGCCGUAGUUCAGCUUGGUUAGAAAGAAACCUUUUUCCUAACGUCCGCGGCUCGGGCCCGCGAGGUCCCCGGUUCAAAUCCGGGCGGCCCCA
rnacentral:tRNA from 1 species